rnacentral:rRNA from 1 species
CGAUUACGGCUCAGUAACACGUCGAUAAUCUGCCUUAUAGUCCGGAAUAACCUUGGGAAACUGAGAGUAAAACCGGAUAUGGGAAUUCUACUGGGAUGUGAAUUCCUUCAAAACUUCGGUGCUAUAAGAUGAGUCGGCGGCGGAUUAGGUUGUUGGUGGGGUAAUGGCCUACCAAGCCGAAGAUCCGUAAGGGCCUUGAAAGAGGUAGCCCUGAGAAGGACACUGAGAUACUGGUCCUAGCCCCACGGGGUGCAGCAGUCGCGAAACCUUGUCAAUGCACGCAAGUGUGAACAGGGGAUCCAGAGUGCUUAUGCUUUGCAUAGGCUUUUGCCAAGGGUUAAUACCUUGGCGAAUAAGUGGUGGGUAAGACUGGUGCCAGCCGCCGCGGUAACACCAGCGCCACAAGUGGCAACCAUAGUUAUUGGGCCUAAAGCGUCCGUAGCCGGUUCUGUAAAUCUUCUGUGAAAUCGUUAAGCUCAACUUAACGGGUUGCAAGAGAGACUGCAGAACUUGGAACCGGGAGGAGUCAGAAGUAUUUCUGGGGGAGCGGUAAAAUGUUAUCAUCCCAGAAAGACUACCUGUGGC